CUCUUCCUCUACACUGGUUUUGAUGAAUCUCCCCCAUUGUGUGUACUGUACAGGACCCUGAAGAAGCUCCUGUCCUCUACAUAGACAGUGAUUUACAGCUCCCAGCAGAUCCUUCUUACUUUUAUAUAUGCUUUGAAGAAGUCAUUAGAGUUAUGAGAGCAGAGUUAUGGGAGUGAAUGAACAGGUUUUCCACUGUGAAACAAGUGCAUAACCAGAGGGACUGUAACCCAAGUGCCCUCAUACCGUAGGAGACCAAGAGACCUCUUUGCCAUAUAAGAAAAUGGAACUUUAGGAAAGCAGAGUAUUUACCUCUUGAGAGACUCUGUAAAUACAGGAAAACAGGUCCAUGCAGGAACAAGAUACAAAAUUACCAACAGUAGAAAGAGAAGUCUAUGUCAAUAAGAAUAGUAAUCAAACAGAAGGGAAAAUCCCAUCCCCUACAGUGACAUCUCUCGUCUGUAAAAAUGGCUAAAAGAAGCCUAUAGGGCCAGAGUACCUAAAGCAAAGAACAGCAGGUCGGACACAAAACAAAUGGAGCAAAAGAGAGGAAGUCCAGGAGCAAACACCAAGAGCGACCUGUAAUGUACAGGGGAAUAUGCCGGAGGCCCAGAGAAACUGAUUGUAACUAGAAAAAGGUUUCCGAAAAUGUAAGGGCCCUAACUCCAGACUAUUCCACGGUAUAUUAAAAAAGGCAAACAAUAUCAGCUAUCCCCUGAGCCUUCUAGUGUGUCACAAUAAAAUAUUUUAUUUCUGAAAAAAAUUCUGGGUGCUGGUAUGUU